GAUGAACGCUGGCGGCGUGCCUAAUACAUGCAAGUCGAGCGAACGGACGAGAAGCUUGCUUCUCUGAUGUUAGCGGCGGACGGGUGAGUAACACGUGGAUAACCUACCUAUAAGACUGGGAUAACUUCGGGAAACCGUAGCUAAUACCGGAUAAUAUUUUGAACCGCAUGGUUCAGAAGUGAAAGACGGUCUUGCUGUCACUUAUAGAUGGAUCCGCGCUGCAUUAGCUAGUUGGUAAGGUAACGGCUUACCAAGGCAACGAUGCAUAGCCGACCUGAGAGGGUGAUCGGCCACACUGGAACUGAGACACGGUCCAGACUCCUACGGGAGGCAGCAGUAGGGAAUCUUCCGCAAUGGGCGAAAGCCUGACGGAGCAACGCCGCGUGAGUGAUGAAGGUCUUCGGAUCGUAAAACUCUGUUAUUAGGGAAGAACAUAUGUGUAAGUAACUGUGCACAUCUUGACGGUACCUAAUCAGAAAGCCACGGCUAACUACGUG
rnacentral:rRNA from 1 species